UUGGACGUGGGAUUAUCUUGUUCAAUAUAUUCAAUUCAGUGUCACAAUUUGAUGGAAUUAUAUGCUGUGAUUUAAGGAUAUAAAUAUGGAGAAGUUUCAGAUAAUUCAUGUUGAAUUAGCCUGUAUACCUGGCAAUGUCUCUAUAGACUACCGAGUAAAGAUUACCACCAUAAACAACCGAGAAAGUAUUUAUGCGACAAGAGACGUCCAGUUCGUGUGGCGGAUCGUGACAGAUUGCGGUCAGGAGACAAGCGUAAGAUCCAAUAGAUGGCGUUAAUUGCUUAAUUAAUCAAGUUCGUCGGUUAUAUUGGGUGAGGAAAAAAUUUUAUGGUCCUUUAUUGGAAACAGUUGACAUUACACGUUAUUGUAUUCUGAA